CCGGACCCCACUCUCGGUACCA
rnacentral:miRNA from 1 species